rnacentral:rRNA from 1 species
GAGCGCGUAGCAAUACGAGCGGCAGACGGGUGAGUAACGCGUGGGAAUCUACCCAGAACUACGGAAUAACAUAGAGAAAUUUGUGCUAAUACCGUAUACGUCCGAUAGGAGAAAGAUUUAUCGGUUUUUGGAUGAGCCCCGCGUUGGAUUAGCUGGUUGGUGAGGUAAAAGCUCACCAAGGCGACGAUCCAUAGCUGGUCUGAGAGGAUGAUCAGCCACACUGGGACUGAGACACGGCCCAG